rnacentral:rRNA from 1 species
UACGUAGGUGGCAAGCGUUGUCCGGAUUUACUGGGCGUAAAGAGCGCGCAGGCGGUCGUUCAAGUCGCGUGUGAAAGCCCCCGGCUCAACUGGGGAGGGUCACGCGAUACUGAUCGACUCGAAGGCAGGAGAGGGUAGUGGAAUUCCCGGUGUAGUGGUGAAAUGCGUAGAUAUCGGGAGGAACACCAGUGGCGAAGGCGACUACCUGGCCUGUUCUUGACG